rnacentral:ncRNA from 1 species
UUUCCCUCAAGAUAGCUGGAGUGCGUUAUGAAGCUGUUAUAUUCGGUAAAGCGAAUGAUUAGAGGAAUUGUGGGACGAACGUCUUCAACCUAUUCUCAAACUUUCAAUGAGUAUGACGUCUUGCUUGCUUGAAUGGCACGUUGACAUUGAACGUGUGUUUCACGUGGGACCAUUUUAGGUAAACAGAAUUGACACGUUGUGGGAUGAAUCA